CGUUCAUUAAGUUGGCUGAUGAAAAUAUUAUUCGAGCCCGAUAGUAACAGUAGUCGUCUUAAAAAAUUGCAAGCUUCUGUUUCUAGGGUUUAUGAUGUUUUCAACUUCUGAUUUCUUAGACCGGCCUUGAAUUUUUGGGAAGGUGAUAGGAGACAAAUAUUUACAACUAAUUUCUGGCGAAUUCCGCCGUUCGUGCCGAUUCUGUUGGAGUUCUUCUCACCAACAAAGGGAAACCGAAACCAUUACAGGCUGUAUUCAUCGUCGUCUUUAACGUCCUUCUUUACUCCUUCUCUCCACUCCUUCAACGAUCUAUCAUUAAAUGCACCUCUUCUUCUUCCUACCCGUGAAUCUGCAGCUAUAAAUAGAAUAGAAUACGCCUCUCUCCUCCUUCAAGACUCCAAAGCCGGUCGCUGUACACGGACGAGGUGUAGCUGCUGAGGUUUUGGGAGACCGAUAAUGUAAAAGGGGCGGCUAGGUUAUGGGUUUUCAUGGCGGACAGUUUCAGCUUUCAUCAUCAUCCUCGAUUCUUAUUAAUGGCAAUCAAAUCCGAUUUCAAGUCAUAGAUCUGAAAAUUAAUGAUGCGCUGGCUAUGGAAAUUUUGUCUUGAUACCAACAUAAUUUCACAAGUCGAAGGCUUGGUGAUGUUUACGACCGCAGUUGUGGCUGAUGCUGAGAACCAGAAGAAGUGGACUAAGUCUCCUUUUACUGGUUUCGCAUAGGGUGUGGCGUGGUGUCUCUGGCUCUUUCAAGGUGAUGUUAGAUUAAUGUCAGUGUUUGGUGGAACUCCAUUAUGUUAUCUAUAGAAGAUAUGAUCCCACAUUCUUUAUGGGCGUGUGUCAAAUACACAAUUCUUUGUUAUAACAAUAAGCUGAGGAAGAAGACUUGAGAAGGAUCAAAAGAAAAUGGUCUAUUUAAGAAUCAGUGCUAUUAGCUGGUGUAUGUACUAGAAACUCUCCAAAAAAGAAAGACAGAGGUGGUUGCGUUUCUUCACAGAUAAAACUCAGCAACAAGAUUCAUCAGAAGAAGCAUAAACAUGGUGGUAGACCUGGAAAAUGCGGGGCCAAAAACUCAGCUACGAUGCCCGAUAAAUGAUUAUAAUGAAGGAAAUCUCGGUUCCGGAUCAGUGUCUUCUGUGAGCACUUCUGUGUGCUCAGGCCGAGACAACACAACAUUUGUUCUUCAAUUGCACUUACAGUACUCAGCAUUCCAAGCUGAAAUAUAUUUUAUUUGGAAAGAGAGGAAUGCUAUACUUCAUAACAAUACUUCUCGACGGCCAGUGCUCUAACUGAAGACAUCUCUCGACAGCUUAGAGCAAAACUUGACAUUCUCUCUCCACGGCAACUGGCGCGUUUUGCUCCUGUUUCCUUUCUUGCCACUUGGAUUUCUUUAUUCUAGAGCUUCGGUUUAUUCAUGAUUGAAGCUAGGAAACUAUUUUUGUAUGCAGAUCCUUAGGGACUGAGAAUUUGUGAUGUAAUCAUGUAUGGAUGUUGGUUGAAAUGAA